UCAGCUGACGUCUCGGGUUUGUUGAUUUGCUCAACAAAUUCUAACUUUUGACACCUGGAACUCCUGACUCCGAGAGUUUACUUACAGAGAGGGAAGAAAAGUUUUCCACGCUCCACAACAAUUACUGUUUCAUUAUGAUUACAUUAUAUAUCACGCACCGCAAUAAAUUAGAAGCUAAUUAAUUUGUUUGGUAGGCCUUGUGUGAUAGCAUUAAAACACUGAAAGUGGUCUCGUUCCUCAUUUACUUAGACUACAGAAAUAACUUCCAAGGAGACACAAGAAUAAUAUCACAGUGCAAUGCAGCGUUAUCAUAGAAACAUCGCUUAUUUCACAGCACUCAUGGAAGAAAAGAGGACCACAGACACACAUGCCUGUGUGGUUUUGAUUCACAUUCGGCAGGAACAGCAGUUUAAAUCUGAACACCCAACGGUCAAUGAUCUGGAUGUUGAAAAGAAAGUCCUGCCUUAAAGGAAAUCGCAGGCAGAGACGAGGAAUCCUCUGUUGAAGACUCGUGAGUGCAGAGAACAAGCGUACAGCAAACUGGAAGACAACCACACUCCCGACACAUGGUCAGAGAAGGUCAAACAAACAGAUCCGAGACAGGAUCAACUAGGCAGAGAGAGUGAGAUGACAUCACCAUAGUGAUCUGCCAUGGGAUAGGUAACCACAGUGAGAAGAUUUAUAUACAGGCGUUUGUGGAUUACUCCCAGAAACAAGGCUACAGGUGUGCCAUUCUCAGCCAUCUUGGUAAACACUAAAACCCUAAAACAACUGUAAAAACAAAUAUUUAAACAACUUUACAACUCAAAUAAAAUAAAAUGCUUUAACAGAAGAAUUAAUGACUGUAAGUGCUUUUAUAAAAUUAUAAGCUUUACAUCUCUGCCUUUAAACCCCUUAAAAAUUUGGCCCCUUUCACUUCUAGAAGAAGCCUUUAUUUUGUCACACUUGCAUAUAUACAGUGAAACUCUUUUUUUUUUUUUUUCUCCUUCAUACCCCAACUAAGCUGGGGUCAGAGCACAGGGUCAGCCAUGAUAUGGCACCCCUGGAACAGACAGGGUCAAGGGCCUCACUCAAGGGCCCAACAGCAGCAUCUUGGCAGCACUGGGGCUUGAACCCCUGACCUUCUGGUCAGUAACCCAGAGCCUUAACCACUGAGCCACCACUAUUGUAAGUGCCUCACUGCAACUUCGACUUUUGGGGCCCAGGAGACAUUUCUAAAGUGGGACCAGUGCAGGAGGUUGCAGAACUUUGUAAUGCCAGACAACAUGGACUUUUACCUGUCUCACAGGUAAAACAUCUUCAUUUAUUAGAGUUCUUUCUGAAAUACAUGAAUCUGAUAUUUGGUAAGUAGCCAUGUAAUUAACAGGAUAACAUAAAUGUUUAUUUUGAGAUAAUGACUGUCUGUAUAAUGUACAUUAUCCCUUACUUACAUAUUAUUGAAAGUAUUGUUUGAUAGCACAAUGCAUCUUUUGCUUUGAAGUUGAAUCCAUUUGCAGCCUUCUAGACUAACUAACUGUCAGACUCUUGUCUUUCACUUUUCAUAUACAAACACAAAUAUAGCAGUAUGAAGACAUGGAGUAGAAAAAUAUUAAAUAUUUGUAAUGAGCACAUGUAACUAACUGAAGUUAAUUGAAAUAAUGUCUUUUAGGGGACGUUUAUUUGGUAUGAGUCCUAGCAAGAUGGAGUUUGCCAACCUCAACCAUCUGCAUACAGCCACCUCUUAAAUGCAGAUUGAGCAUAUUUGGGCAUAAUUCGAUAAAUCUAGGUGGUCACAAAAAAAAAAAGCAACUCCUUUUGUCUUCGCAUUCAAAAUUGACCAACCACUGAAAUACAGUAAUUUUUUAUUUUUAUUUUUUUGUCAAAUACAAUAAAUAAAUC